UCGGGGAUAGCCUUCGAAAGAAAGAUUAAUACCCGAUGGCAUAAUAGAACCGCAUGGUUUGAUUAUUAAAGAAUUUCGGUUAUCGAUGGGGAUGCGUUCCAUUAGGCAGUUGGUGGGGUAACGGCCCACCAAACCUUCGAUGGAUAGGGGUUCUGAGAGGAAGGUCCCCCACAUUGGAACUGAGACACGGUCCAAACUCCUACGGGAGGCAGCAUG
rnacentral:rRNA from 1 species